UUUAAAUGCAUCUAUGAGUUUUCGUGCCCAACUUUAUUUGUUCGUCUUAUUUAAAAAAGAUAUAAUUAAUAUUUUUAUUGUUAUGAGAUGAUAAAACAUAAAUAGUACUUUGUUCGUGACUUAUGUUUUUAAUUUUUUUAAAAAAAAUUCAAAUAAGAUGAACGAUCAAAGUUAGACGCGGAAAAUCAUGAUUGCACUUAGA
rfam:Oryza sativa Japonica Group DNA, chromosome 4, cultivar: Nipponbare, complete sequence.